GAACCUAGCGGCGAACGGGUGAGUAACACGUGGGCAACCUGCCCUCAAGCCUGGGAUAACUCCGGGAAACCGGUGCUAAUACCAGAUAAUCAUUGCUCUUGCAUGAGAGCAAUGUAAAAGUUUUUCGCUUGAGGAUGGGCCCGCGGUGCAUUAGCUUGUUGGUGGGGUAAUGGCCGACCAAGGGACGAUGCAUAGCCGACCUGAGAGGGUGACCGGCCACCUGGGACUGAGACACGGCCCAGAAUCCUACGGGAGGCAGCAGUAGGGAAUUUUCCGCAAUGGGCAAAGCCUGACGGAGCAACGCCGCGUGAGUGAUGACGGCCUCCGGGUAGUAAACUCUGUUCUUGGGAAGAAGUUCUGACGGUACCUAAGGAGAAAGCCCCGGCUAACUACGUCCAGCAGCCGCGGUAAUACGUAGGGGGCAAGCGUUGUCCGGAAUUAUUGGGCGUAAAGCGCGCGCAGGCGGCGCUUUAAGGUGGGGGUUAAAGGCAAUGGCUCAACCAUUGUUCGCCUCCAAAACUGGAGCGCUUGAGUGCAGCAGAGGAAAGUGGAAUUCCCGGUGUAGCGGUGGAAUGCGUAGAGAUCGGGAGGAACACCAGUGGCGAAGGCGACUUUCUGGGCUGUAACUGACGCUGAGGCGCGAAAGCGUGGGGAGCAAACAGGAUUAGAUACCCUGGUAGUCCACGCCGUAAACGAUGAGUGCUAGGUGUUGGGGGCUUUCCCGCCCUCAGUGCCGCAGCUAACGCAUUAAGCACUCCGCCUGGGGAGUACGGCCGCAAGGCUGAAACUCAAAGGAAUUGACGGGGGCCCGCACAAGCGGUGGAGCAUGUGGUUUAAUUCGAAGCAACGCGAAGAACCUUACCAAGGCUUGACAUCCCGUUGACCGGGGUAGAGAUACCCCUUCCCUUCGGGGCAACGGUGACAGGUGGUGCAUGGUUGUCGUCAGCUCGUGUCGUGAGAUGAUGGGUUCAGUCCCGCAACGAGCGCAACCCUUAUCGUUAGUUGCCAGCAUUUAGUGGGCACUCUAACGAGACAGCCGGUGAAAGCCGAAGGAAGGGGGGGAUGACGUCAAUCAUCAUGCCCAUUAUAUCUUGGGCUACACACGUGCUACAAUG
rnacentral:rRNA from 1 species